rnacentral:rRNA from 1 species
GACGAACGCUGGCGGCGUGCUUAACACAUGCAAGUCGAACGGAAAGGCCUCUUUUGGGGGGUACUCGAGUGGCGAACGGGUGAGUAACACGUGUGGAACCUGCCCCUGACUUUGGGAUAACUUCAGGAAACGGGGGCUAAUACCGGAUAGGAGCUCCCGCUGCAUGGUGGGGGUUGGAAAGGUUCGGCGGUUGGGGAUGGACUCGCGGCUUAUCAGCUUGUUGGUGGGGUAGUGGCUUACCAAGGCUUUGACGGGUAGCCGGCCUGAGAGGGUGACCGGCCACAUUGGGACUGAGAUACGGCCCAGACUCCUACGGGAGGCAGCAGUGGGGAAUAUUGCACAAUGGGUGGAAGCCUGAUGCAGCAACGCCGUGUGCGGGAUGACGGCCUUCGGGUUGUAAACCGCUUUCGCUCAUGACGAAGCUUUGUGUGACGGUAGUGGGUAAAGAAGCACCGGCUAACUACGUG